GGUGCCGUUUGUUUUCCACCCUGGAAUUUCGGUGGGCCCUUCAACCAGGGCCUCGUCUUUGGGGAAGCCAGUGAUUGGUGGCGUUUCAAAAUCACCGUUUGUCACCAACCCUGAAAUAAUAACAUAACAUUUACAUAUCGAAACAGCAUCAAAUUAACUUCCUUCAUUUUUCAACGAAAUUAUUAAUUAAUUUUGUGCUUUUUACUUCUACUACAAGGUACGAAUAGCAACGGCGACAAAGCAUGGGGAGUCUGAUGUAAAAGCAUGGGAUUAUGGGUCCACGAAAUUAUUGGUCUAUAAAUAUAAUAAACAGUGGUAGGGCAAAGCGCGGAUACAUUUCAAGGUCUGGUAAAGCGUUUUUCUAUGGUCAAGAUACAGUCAACUCUUGGCCCACGAUACAGAAGGACGUGACAAAUCACAGGGUCCAACAGUGAAGAUGCCGCACCAACUGUCUUACCAAACAGCAAGC
rnacentral:lncRNA from 1 species